rnacentral:misc_RNA from 1 species
CCCUGGUGGCAGGUUGACUUGCAGGCUAACUUCAUUGUGAGGAGGAUCGAAAUCACAAACAGAGAGGAUUGUUGUCGUGACAGAUUGCACAGUAUUUCUCUGGAGCUUUUCGACGAGGAUCCAUCUGCUGAACCCUCGACCCCGGCCAAGCUUUGCUACUUCAUCUCGGGCUACGUAACGCAGUCGACACUGACCAUAAAUUGUACAAGACCCGUGACUGGCAGGUAUCUCCGUCUGACCAAGACAAGCCAGCGAAAUUAUAACGAUUUGCUGCAAUUCUGCGAAGUGAAAGUCUAUGAAGAGUUAAUUGAUGGCAAUUGUUUGUGUGCAUCAUUUGUACAAACGCAAGGAUCUCGCUACGACGGUGCCUCCAACAUUACCCAAGGGCCAGAGAUUAAUAGUGCGAAAGCAUGCGCCGUCACCUGCAAACGAGUAGGGACCUGCAUCGGCUUCAACAUCCGUUACAACCCGGAAGUCACCUGCGUACUCGUACAAAAUCCGGAUCUGACUCUUGUUCAGGACGCUGCUUGGGACUUCUAUUUGUACAAAUCCUGUGCAAGUCGAAGUAUCAGUGACUAGCUUUUCAAGACUUAGGGACAUUGUCCACUAUGGUCGACAGUUUGGCAGACUGUGGCUCAACCUGUGAACGUGUAAGUAACUGCACCAGCUUCAACAUCCGUUACAUACCGGAAGUUACGUGCGAGUUUUCCAGGAUUUGGAUCCGACUUUUGUUCAGGGCGCUGCCCUUAAUUGGGACUUUUGUUUGUAAAAAUUCUGUGUCAUUAGUUAUCUUGGGAAGACUCAGGGACAUUGUCUGCCAUAGGGGGACGACAGUUUCGCAACCUGCAAACGUGUAAAGACCUGCACAGGCUUCAACAUCCAGUACAUACCGGAAGUUACGUUCGAGUUUCUCCAGGACUGGCAUCUGACUUCUCUUGUUCAUUACUCUACUUGGAACAUCUAUUUGUGCAAAUUGUACAAAUUCCUUUUGUGAUUAGUGUAAUUCAUUUAAAAAAAAAAAAAUUCUUAUUGACAGACAACCCCUGUUACAAAGAAGGAAAUUGCCGCCUGGGAAGGCAAUCCCUUUGAAGUUAUAACAGAAGAGAACUAUCGUUUCUUCUAACUCGCACUGGCACUGGCAACUGGAUGGUAAUGUCAUAGGCUGAUUUGUACAUGUAGCACAGCACCCCUGGCACAUUUCACAAAUUCACAAUUUUGUCCCUAACAGCUUGCCAUACUGAUGAGCUGAGGAUAGACCCGUAAAACGAACGCUGGUUCUCUGGGAGCCUCGGUAGCUCAGUCUGGAUGACUUCGGGUACGGGCUUAUGAUGUAGAGAGGCGCAACUCUGCAUUGUAAGAUCAUAUCCCAAUCAUGGAUACCUUGCACCUUUCGCAUCGGUUUCGUCAGUAAGGUAUCAAGAUCAUAUCAGGUGGGGAUCUCUGAAAAGGGUUUCUCCCGAGAAGGGCACUCUCUAAAAGAGUAUGAGUGCAGUCGACACAAUCCCAGAGGGAGAAGGUGGCGCAACAACAAAUCUUUCUUCCAAUGGGAUUGUGGCUGCUGAAGACAUUUUGCUAUUUUUUAAAGUAAUUUUCAAACUUACAUACCACGAUUUUUUAGUACGCGCUGGGAGCUGAAUUGGACCGACAGGACACGAUGAGGGUUCAGUGGUC